UCGUGUGUAGCUCAGUGGUAGAGCACCCGUUUAGUAAGCGGGAGGUCUCGAGAUUGAAUCUCGACAUAAGCA
rnacentral:tRNA from 1 species